AACGAACGCUGGCGGCAGGCUUAACACAUGCAAGUCGAACGCAUCGCAAGAUGAGUGGCAGACGGGUGAGUAACGCGUGGGAACAUACCCUUUUCUACGGAAUAGCUCUGGGAAACUGGAAUUAAUACCGUAUACGCCCUACGGGGGAAAGAUUUAUCGGGGAAGGAUUGGCCCGCGUUGGAUUAGCUAGUUGGUGGGGUAAAGGCCUACCAAGGCGACGAUCCAUAGCUGGUCUGAGAGGAAGAUCAGCCACAUUGGGACUGAGACACGGCCAAAACUCCAACGGGAGGCAGCAGUGGAGAAUAUUGGACAAUGGGCGCAAGCCUGAUCCAGCCAUGCCGCGUGAGUGAUGAAGGCCUUAGGGUUGUAAAGCUCUGUCACCGAUGAAGAUAAUGACGGUAGUCGGAGAAGAAGCCCCGGCUAACUUCGUGCCAGCCGCCGCAGUAAUAC
rnacentral:rRNA from 1 species